ACGACUUAAUUCUCUUAGUUAACAAACUUCUUGUGAUCUAUUCUUACAACUAGACAGCUGAAUUCUACCAUUUUCCACAAUAAAGAGGGAAGUACUUCUGAGUAUGAAGUGGGGAUAUUCCCCUUUUUUAUGAUGCCUGGAAGGCAAUUAUUGCAGGAUGGAGAGGAGAGAAACAGGAAGGGGCCAACUCUGAGGGAGGAGAAGGGUGGAUAUGUGACAAGCUUGUUCUGCCCUCUUUGGGGUUUUUAUAUCUUUCAAUCCACUAAGGCUUAAUAUGCUUUAUAUUAAAUUAACUCUGGACAUUUUUGUGAACCAAAGACCAAGUCAUUGAAACCCCUUCAUACUCUUGAUCAGCUCCCUGAUUAUCCCAUAUCUGGUUAAUAUGGGAACACAUUAUCAAAGAGUGCAUCAAAAUAAGUGAUGUAUGCUGGUGUUUAUAAAAAGUUGUAGGGUCUUUUUUAUGAACCUAAAUUUAUUUAAAAUAAAAAAUCAAGAGGUUUGUGUGUAAUGUGAUCUGUGCUGUAUAUGCCCAGAUAUUUCCAAAUCCUUAAUGCUUCCUCUCAUCAAUAUCCAAAUAGCAUAGACUGAAAACCUAUGUGCUACAUUGUAGGAAGAUCACCAAGCCAUGCUCUGAAGAUUCCAGGGUAGAGAACUGUCCAGGGUAGACAGGUGAGUCCAUGUCACAGGCUGCCUAUCUGUGGUUGCCAGGCAGCAAGGUGUGUGUACCUGUGGAAAAGUGUCAAACUGGGAUUUUCACCCACAUUAUACUUUGCCUAACAGGUUUUGCAUAUUUUUCCCUGGGUAUCAGACAGGUUAUAAUACACCCACACCACUCUAGGAUUUAUGAGCCAGAGUUCCUGUGACAGUGAAAUGGAGCAAGAAUUGACUGAUAUAGAUGCAAGGAAUGCAGACCUUCUUGAUUCAAAUGACAAAGAAAACAGCAAUAUGUCAGGAUCUACAGCACCGUGUGAAUCUUACAAGGAUGGCAGCCUAAAGGCCCUGGCAGGGACCGAGGUGGUGAGCCAAGUCUUCAACUGUGUUGAGAAACCAAACAAACCUGGCGACCACACACUUCUAGUCCCUGCAGGUGCAAAGUAACCACUGUGAUUCAACCUUCAUGAGCCUCUAGAGAAGGGGAGCAGCCAGUGUCCCAUAGGAGAGCCCAGGAGUGUGUAUGAAGACUCCAACAGCUGGAAAAGGGCUAGGGAGAGAUUGCUCCAGAAUACUGGGAAGGGAACAAAGUACUCUGAUUUGUCAUGUGACUGUUCAUCAAACUGCUAAUAUUUG